UCACAUACUUUCAAAUAAAGGUGUGACGAGAUUAAACGUGACAAGAUUUCUCGUCGAGGUAAAAAGUGUCUUGUGAUAUCAGUACACCAUUGCAGAGCAGCAGCUUUCAAAUUAGCGUAGAAGAUCCC